rnacentral:misc_RNA from 1 species
AACGCACGAGACCUGCGGACCUGCGGAAGGAUCAUUACCGAGUCUCCGACUCCCAAACCACUGUGAACCUACCUCUUUAGCGCUCCGCCGGGCCGGCCCCGGGGGGUCGGUUGCCGCUAGGCGCCCGGCGGAGCUCUGGAAAACCUCUCUCAGCGAGCUUCUGAGUCUUGUCUCUAAAAGAGUCACAACUUUCAACAACGGAUCUCU